CUAGUUAAGCAUAAGUCCUUGGGAGAUUGUUCUAGAUGUUCCCAUCCAUCGGUUGGCUAAAGUCUAGACACUACAAAUUUUUCAGGCGGCUUCCCCG
rnacentral:sRNA from 1 species